UUCCUUUUGGAGUCUUCUACUGUGAACCUUGGAUAUGGAUGCCUAUUUGGGGACCAUUUGUGUUGCAAUAUGGUACACUGCUUUACCCAGAAAUCAUUUUAAACACUAUUUCUCUGAUGAAUGUAUUUACAGGAUCAAUAGAGGACAGUUUAACAGAGCUGUAACAUUCUCUGAUGCUCUCAGUGAUGGCCACCUCCCACUGGAACCAGCAGAAGCUUCUUGGCAUCAUGUCCUAGAGGUCAGCACUCUGCAGCUGCUUUGGAAAGGAGCCAAAUAGCUUGCUCUCAGAUUGUCCUCCUGUGAAGAACAUUUAGCCAUCAGACUCUGUGCCAAAAGGAAGGAAUCUACUGAGAACAUCCUGCUGCUGAUGUGUUGCCCUCAGGAGGGAUCUUUUCGGACAGAGUGUGAAUGUCUUUCUUUUCUUCUUCCUUUGAACAAGAGUGGGCAGAAUUUGUAUAAAGUGUGCAUAAAAUCGCUAAACUACAGCAUUUGUUAUGUUCUGGUAAAUAUCUUAAAGAACCCAUAGAGUAAUUCUGGCUAAUUGGUUCAUACAAGAAUGAUGUAAAGUAAACUACUUAGAAAACAGCAAGCUGGGAACUUCUCCCAGUGUUGACAACAUGAAAAGUAAUAUAAAUAACAUUAAUUCUUCUUUGUAAUUACAUUUCUGUAGCAACUCCUCUCAAAACUGUGAAUUUGCCCUAUUGUGAAUAACUGAAGGAUACCACUCAUGAUAUUUCCAAAAUAUUUUAUGAAGGAAAGUCUUUAUAGAGGAUCAUUUGGAUGGCUAAAUCCAGAAUGUUGCAUUCGUUUACAUUCAUGUGAAAAUUCCUAGUGCCACCUAUUGGCAGAAAUAAUAAAAUGUUAGUUAAUGUGCUGCUCUUCAUGAAACAUAUUUUUCCUGAGAAC